rnacentral:rRNA from 1 species
AUUGAACGCUGGCGGCAUGCCUUACACAUGCAAGUCGAACGGCAGCACGGGUGCUUGCACCUGGUGGCGAGUGGCGAACGGGUGAGUAAUACAUCGGAACAUGUCCUGUAGUGGGGGAUAGCCCGGCGAAAGCCGGAUUAAUACCGCAUACGAUCUACGGAUGACAGCGGGGGACCUUCGGGCCUCGCGCUAUAGGGUUGGCCGAUGGCUGAUUAGCUAGUUGGUGGGGUAAAGGCCUACCAAGGCGACGAUCAGUAGCUGGUCUGAGAGGACGACCAGCCACACUGGGACUGAGACACGGCCCAGACUCCUACGGGAGACAGCAGUGGGGAAUUUUGGACAAUGGGCGAAAGCCUGAUCCAGCAAUGCCGCGUGUGUGAAGAAGGCCUUCGGGUUGUAAAGCACUUUUGUCCGGAAAGAAAUCCUUGGCCCUAAUACGGUCGGGGGAUGACGGUACCGGAAUAAUAAGCACCGGCUAACUACGUG